GAUGAACGCUGGCGGCGUGCCUAAUACAUGCAGGUCGAGCGAACGGACGAGAAGCUUGCUUCUCUGAUGUUAGCGGCGGACGGGUGAGUAACACGUGGAUAACCUACCUAUAAGACUGGGAUAACUUCGGGAAACCGGAGCUAAUACCGGAUAAUAUUUUGAACCGCAUGGUUCAAAAGUGAAAGACGGUCUUGCUGUCACUUAUAGAUGGAUCCUCGCUGCAUUAGCUAGUUGGUAAGGUAACGGCUUACCAAGGCAACGAUGCAUAGCCGACCUGAGAGGGUGAUCGGACACACUGGAACUGAGACACGGUCCAGACUCCUACGGGAGGAAGCAGUAGGGAAUCUUCCGAAAUGGGCGAAAGCCUGACGGAGCAACGCCGCGUGAGUGAUGAAGGUCUUCGGAUCGUAAAACUCUGUUAUUAGGGAAGAACAUAUGUGUAAGUAACUGUGCACAUCUUGACGGUACCUAAUCAGAAAGCCACGGCUAACUACGUG
rnacentral:rRNA from 1 species